UAAGGAAUAUUGGACAAUGGACGCAAGUCUGAUCCAGCCAUCCCGCGUGGAGGAAUAAAGCCCUAUGGGUUGUAAACUCCUUUAGCUAGGGAAUAAAUCAUUGGAUUCAUCCGAUGUUGAAGGUACCUAGAGAAUAAGCACCGGCUAACUCCGUGCCAGCAGCCGCGGUAAUACGGAGGGUGCAAGCGUUAUCCGGAUUUACUGGGUUUAAAGGGUGCGUAGGUGGUUUAAUAAGUCAGUGGUGAAAUUUACCCGCUUAACGGGCAAGCUGCCAUUGAUACUGUUAGACUUGAAUAUGGUUGAAGUAGGCGGAAUAAAUCAUGUAGAGGUGAAAUUCUUAGAGAUGAUUUAGAACACCGAUUGCGAAGGCAGCUUACUAAGCCAUCAUUGACACUGAUGC
rnacentral:rRNA from 1 species